GUGCCUGCCCAGUGACCGUGUGUUCAACGGCCGCGGUAUGUUAACCGUGCAAAGGUAGCGCAAUCACUUGUCUCUUAAAUGGGGACCUGUAUGAAUGGCCUGACGAGGGCUUAACUGUCUCCUCUCUCCAGUCAAUGAAAUUGAUCUCCCCGUGCAGAAGCGGGGAUACCACCAUAAGACGAGAAGACCCUAUGAAGCUUCAGACGCAAGGCAGCUUACGUUUAUCCAUCCUUUAGAAGAACCAAACUUAGUAACUCCUGUCCUUAAUGUUUUUGGUUGGGGCGACCAUGGGGAAACAAAAAACCCCCACGAGGAAAGGGAGAACUUAACCUAAAACCAAGAGCCGCAGCUCUCAGUAACAAUAUUUUUGACCACUAUGAUCCGGGCUUACCGAUCAACGAACCGAGUUACUCUAGGGAUAACAGCGCAAUCCUCUUAUAGAGUUCCUAUCGACAAGGGGGUUUACGACCUCGAUGUUGGAUCAGGACAUCCUAAUGGUGCAACC
rnacentral:rRNA from 1 species